rnacentral:rRNA from 1 species
UGGAUCCAGACUUUGAUCCUGGCUCAGGAUGAACGCUAGCUACAGGCUUAACACAUGCAAGUCGAGGGGAAACGACAUCGAAAGCUUGCUUUUGAUGGGCGUCGACCGGCGCACGGGUGAGUAACGCGUAUCCAACCUGCCCACCACUUGGGGAUAACCUUGCGAAAGUAAGACUAAUACCCAAUGAUAUCUCUAGAAGACAUCUGAAAGAGAUUAAAGAUUUAUCGGUGAUGGAUGGGGAUGCGUCUGAUUAGCUUGUUGGCGGGGUAACGGCCCACCAAGGCAACGAUCAGUAGGGGUUCUGAGAGGAAGGUCCCCCACAUUGGAACUGAGACACGGUCCAAACUCCUACGGGAGGCAGCAGUGAGGAAUAUUGGUCAAUGGACGAGAGUCUGAACCAGCCAAGUAGCGUGCAGGAUGACGGCCCUAUGGGUUGUAAACUGCUUUUAUAAGGGAAUAAAGUGAGUCUCGUGAGACUUUUUGCAUGUACCUUAUGAAUAAGGACCGGCUAAUUCCGUGCCAGCAGCCGCGGUAAUACGGAAGGUCCGGGCGUUAUCCGGAUUUAUUGGGUUUAAAGGGAGCGUAGGCCGGAGAUUAAGCGUGUUGCGAAGUGUAGACGCUCAACGUCUGCACUGCAGCGCGAACUGGUUUCCUUGAGUACGCACAAAGUGGGCGGAAUUCGUGGUGUAGCGGUGAAAUGCUUAGAUAUCACGAAGAACUCCGAUUGCGAAGGCAGCUCACUGGAGCGCAACUGACGCUGAAGCUCGAAAGUGCGGGUAUCGAACAGGAUUAGAUACCCUGGUAGUCCGCACGGUAAACGAUGGAUGCCCGCUGUUGGUCUGAAUAGGUCAGCGGUCAAGCGAAAGCAUUAAGCAUCCCACCUGGGGAGUACGCCGGCAACGGUGCAACUCAAAUGAAUUGACGGAA